rnacentral:rRNA from 1 species
CCUACGGGUGGCAGCAGUGGGGAAUAUUGGUCAAUGGGCGCAAGCCUGAACCAGCCAAGUCGCGUGAGCGAUGACGGUCUUCUUGAUUGUAAACCUCUUUUGUCGGGGAGCAAGGCCCGCCACGUGUGGCGGGAAGGAGAGUACCCGAAGAAACAGCAUCGGCUAACUCCGUGCCAGCAGCCGCGGUAAUACGGAGGAUGCGAGCGUUGUCCGGAUUUGUUGGGCUUAAAGGGUGCGUAGGUGGAAUGUUAAGUCAGCGGUCAAAUGUCGGUGCUCAACACCGGACUGCCGUUGAAACUGGUCUUCUUGAGUGAGCGAGAAGUAUGCGGAAUGCGUGGUGUAGCGGUGAAAUGCAUAGAUAUCACGCAGAACUCCGAUUGCGAAGGCAGCAUACCGGCGCUCAACUGACGCUGAGGCACGAAAGCGUGGGGAUCGAACAGGAUUAGAUACCCUAGUAGUC